AUGAACGCUGGCGGCGUGCCUCAUACAUGCAAGUCGAGCGAACAGAUGAGGAGCUUGCUCCUCUGGCGUUAGCGGCGGACGGGUGAGUAACACGUGGAUAACCUACCUAUAAGACUGGGAUAACUUCGGGAAACCGGAGCUAAUACCGGAUAAUAUAUUGAACCGCAUGGUUCAAUAGUGAAAGACGGUUUUGCUGUCACUUAUAGAUGGAUCCGCGCCGCAUUAGCUAGUUGGUAAGGUAACGGCUUACCAAGGCAACGAUGCGUAGCCGACCUGAGAGGGUGAUCGGCCACACUGGAACUGAGACACGGUCCAGACUCCUACGGGAGGCAGCAGUAGGGAAUCUUCCGCAAUGGGCGAAAGCCUGACGGAGCAACGCCGCGUGAGUGAUGAAGGUCUUCGGAUCGUAAAACUCUGUUAUUAGGGAAGAACAAAUGUGUAAGUAACUAUGCACGUCUUGACGGUACCUAAUCAGAAAGCCACGGCUAACUACGUG
rnacentral:rRNA from 1 species